UACGGGGGGGGCAAGCGUUGUUCGGAAUUACUGGGCGUAAAGGGCUCGUAGGCGGCCAACUAAGUCAGACGUGAAAUCCCUCGGCUUAACCGGGGAACUGCAUCUGAUACUGGAUGGCUUGAGUUCGGGAGAGGGAUGCGGAAUUCCAGGUGUAGCGGUGAAAUGCGUAGAUAUCUGGAGGAACACCGGUGGCGAAGGCGGCAUCCUGGACCAAUAUUGACGCUGAGGAGCGAAAGCCAGGGGAGCAAAGCGGGG
rnacentral:rRNA from 1 species